rnacentral:rRNA from 1 species
UACGUAGAGAGCAAGCGUUGUCCGGAAUCAUUGGGCGUAAAGCGCGCGUAGGUGGCCUCAUAAGUCCGCUGUGAAAGUCAAAGGCUCAACCUUUGAAAGCCGGUGGAUACUGUGAGGCUAGAGUACGGAAGAGGCGAGUGGAAUUCCUGGUGUAGCGGUGGAAUGCGCAGAUAUCAGGAGGAACACCAAUAGCGAAGGCAGCUCGCUGGGACGUUUACUGACACUGAGGCGCGAAAGCGUGGGGAGCGAACAGG